rnacentral:snRNA from 1 species
GAACUCUGGUUUCUCUUCAGAUCGUAAAAAGCAUUUGCCUUUUGCAAAAGAUUUCCAUGGAGAGGAACUGGCAUGAUGGUCUUCAACUGUCAACUUUAACUCACAACUAUCCACCCUCUAGUUA